UCAACAGCCAGUACAUUUCACCUAAAGCAGCUCCGGUCAUCAGUCCGGCCACCAUCGUGUAAUCAGCUGACCUGAUGGACUCGACUGUGUGUGUUGCUGCUGCAGUGAGACACCGGGAGAGUCGACCUGUCGUCUGUAGUUUCUGAUCUGAGCUCAGUUUUAUUUAUGUUCAGGUUCAGUAGAGUUUAUGUUGGUAGCUGCUGUUUGUUACUGAUCCAGGAUCAGGUCUGUGUCUCUGAGCUGGUCCAGGAUCAGGUCUGUGUCUCUGAGCUGGUCCAGGAUCAGGUCUGUGUCUCUGAGCUGGUCCAGGAUCAGGUGGACUAACUGUACAUGUGUGUAAAUAAAGUGUCACUUUUCUUACCUGAGUAAUAAACACAGUUUGUUCAAAACUGA